CACAGGACACGAUGGCACCCGUGUCUUUUGGUCUAUCAAUGGAAGGUCAUUCUGGUGGUGUACGGAUGUAUAUCUAGUAGUAUAUGCUUGGAUGUUUGCCUCCACUAUCAAAAUUAUUUUCUUUAUCAACACUUUAACUAUCAUGGCCCAUGUUGCUUGCAUUUUUUUUGGCUAUGUGAACACUUGGAGGACUUUUUUGUGACAUGUGCAGGUUCUUUUUUAUUCUGUGCAGUGUGAUGUCCUGUUUUCAUUUUGUUUGCAUUAAUGUGGAUCCUUUGGGUGUUUAUAUAGAAAGUAUUGAGAGAUUCAUUUUUGAUGAAUUUUAUUGAUAAUAAAGCUGUGGUUUUUCUAAUGGAUGCAUCUUUUCCAUUAAACAGGUCAAGAAAACUGUUUACACUGUGUUGCAUGUUGGUGAUGUGAUUUGAUUGGGCCAGUAGAAAUUCAACUGUUUGUAUAGUGAAAUCAAAUUUUGUUCCUUGAUCAUCAUCAUCCAAGCCUUAUCUCAGAUAGGUAAAUCAGGAACUCCCAAUUGGUGCAUUCAUAUGCUUUUUUUCAAGGGCAAUGUCUUAGAAAGAAGACUAGUCACCAAACUCUUUCCAAUGAAACAUGUCUAAAUUGGAUUGGUUGGACAAAAGAAAGUGUGAAGUGGAAAUUGGAAAAUAUAAUUCUAAGAACAGAAAAUUUGUAACUACGUACAAUUUCAGUAGAAAAAACAUGUGAUUUUCUAAAGUUGACUCAACCAAGUUGCUCAUGUUUACCAAAAUCUUUUGAAUAUCCAGUUGAAGAUAGUCUUAAGAAAAAAGCAUAAAAAGAAAAGGAAAAAAAAAAACAACAACAACAGCAACAAUUGAAGAUGAGUUAACAAGUGAAGAAUAAAUCUAUAUGCUAAGGGCAAAAUCUUGAAUUAGAGUCCUCUCUAACCAAUCAAAGCACAUAAUAAUUCUAGAUAAUCAACUAGAGCUUAUCUAGCUUUAAGAAUUAUGAAGGAAAAAAAACCAUGGAUAGGUGAAUGUUUAUUUGAAACUAAUACACAAAUGUGGAUCUUUAGCCAGACAUGGGGUUGACUUAAUAUUUUUAGAGAUUCAUUUGUGUUCUUAAUAGCUAUUGGUUGAGCUAAUCUAGUAUGCUUCUCUCUCUUGUGGAUCUUUAGCCAGACAUGGUGCUGACUUAAUAUUUUUAGAGAUUCAUUUAUGUUCUUAAUAGCUAUUGGUUGAGCUAAUCUAGUAUGCUUCUCUCUCUUGUGGAUCUUUAACCAGACAUGGGGCUGACUUAAUAUGAGAUAUAGUUGACUCAAGAUAGGUAAUUGAUCACUACAUGUUCUCUUUAAUGUUGCAGACAGCUAUGACAUGAAUUUAUUACACAUGCUUCAUUUGUUAUUUCUUGUUCCUGCCAAAAGAAUAAUUAGAUUAAAACUUUACAUAUUCUUUUAUGGCUUUGACAUACCAGUGGCUCUAUAUGAGUAACUUUUAGUGAGUACUCUGUUUUCUCACCUCCUCUCUUUUUAAGGGAGUUCUCUUCUACUAGCACACAUCUAAUUCUUUAGUUUUAGAUAGUCUUUUCCUUAAUUUUAUCACGAUAUGCCAUUUGAAUUCAUUAGAGGCAUUUAUAAAUUUGAAAAUUUCCAUGUCUCUAGACUUUCUGCUAUCUUCAUCUUAGCUUUCAUUAGUUAUUAGGAGGAAGAUGUUAUGUUCUACUUUUGUAAUCUAUCCCAUGGGCUCAUGCACAAUCUUCUUUUUGGCAAGUAUUGGUGGGUAUAAAGUUCCAUGUUUCUCUUUACAAUUGAUGAAUUUUGGUUUAGGUUCUGCAAAUGUGUUUUUCUUUUGUGCUGGUUUAAUUAAUGACGACUAGAGGAGGUAUGGAUCAUUAGGCUUCAUGGUGGACAUGUCUGUAAUUUAUCAGUGAUGAACUGAUUAAAGCUAAGUCACAUUCUUUGCAAAUAUGCUGGAUUGAAAAGACACCUUCUAAUCUAUACACAUUUUUAAAAGGAUGGAGAUAAAUCUCUUGAUCCUAUCAUGGACAAUCCAUUAUCUCAAAAUCCAGCUCAUUCAUUACCUGUAAAAAUAACAUGUGAGGCCACUUCUUCUACAAUGCUGAGCUGGAGAAGAUGGUUGAUAAGGAUUUGUCUCAUUUGUAUCCAGAGCAUGGGAGCAACUUUAACAUGUCAGUAUGUCAAGCCAUGCUAAGAAGGAUAUUGUUGUUGUGGUGCCUAAUGGUAAUCUUGUUUUUGUCCUCAGUUUACGUUGGAGCAAUACAAACAACGUGCCUUAAUGGGAUCUCCACAAGGAGUUACGGACGUAUAAAGAAGCUAUUCUUCUUCAGAUAGGAAUUCCUGGUGGUGCAGCAUCAGGGAAGACUACUCUCUAUGACAUGAUCAUUGAGCAACUUCAU